rnacentral:rRNA from 2 species
AAAUUGAAGAGUUUGAUCAUGGCUCAGAUUGAACGCUGGCGGCAGGCCUAACACAUGCAAGUCGAACGGUAACAGGAAGCAGCUUGCUGCUUUGCUGACGAGUGGCGGACGGGUGAGUAAUGUCUGGGAAACUGCCUGAUGGAGGGGGAUAACUACUGGAAACGGUGGCUAAUACCGCAUAACGUCGCAAGACCAAAGAGGGGGACCUUCGGGCCUCUUGCCAUCAGAUGUGCCCAGAUGGGAUUAGCUUGUUGGUGAGGUAACGGCUCACCAAGGCGACGAUCCCUAGCUGGUCUGAGAGGAUGACUAGCCACACUGGAACUGAGACACGGUCCAGACUCCUACGGGAGGCAGCAGUGGGGAAUAUUGCACAAUGGGCGCAAGCCUGAUGCAGCCAUGCCGCGUGUAUGAAGAAGGCCUUCGGGUUGUAAAGUACU